ensembl:lncRNA
UGCAAAAUUCUGAUGCUGGUUUAUGUAGAUACUCCACUCUCACAGAGGUGGAGCAUAAUUGCCUACUCGUAAAUGCGGGCUGUCCAUUGAGACUGACUUCCAAAGAAUAUAGCAAGGAAAGGAGGAAAAAUGAAUAUGCUGGAGAAACCUGACCAAUGCUAUCUCAGCCAGGAUGCUCUUAAGCAGAAUGGCACCAGCACCUGAGAAGGACCACCUCCUCUAGUGACCUUCCCACCAAAGGUUUUGCUUCGUAGUCACCAUGAGACUUACAUAAUACCUUUUGAAGCAUAUUUGAAACAAAACCUAUGCAUUGUGCCUGG